rnacentral:lncRNA from 11 species
GGUGGAAGGCAGAACUGGCACCUGGAUUGCUGGAACUAUUUCUCAUGCAAAAACUUUGUCUCAGAAUGGGAAAAUGAAGAUGGUGGACCACUGGUACCUCAUGAAACCUGCUAUCACUUAGUGGGCUUGCAACAGUUUGGUGAAAUCGGGUUGAAGAAAGUGGGAUAGCA